UACGGAGGAUGCAAGCGUUAUCCGGAAUGAUUGGGCGUAAAGCGUUUUAAGGUGGUUGGUAAGUCUACUGUUAAAUAUCAGGGCUUAACCCUGAACAGGCAGUGGAAACUAGCAAGCUGGAGUACGGUAGGGGCAGAGGGAAUUCCCGGUGUAGCGGUGAAAUGCGUAGAUAUCGGGAAGAACACCGAAGGCGAAAGCACUCUGCUGGGCCGAAACUGACACUGGAUAGACGAAAGCUAGGGGAGCAAAAUGGG
rnacentral:rRNA from 1 species